UUGUUUUAUCUUAGGAACCCACCGAUAAAUAAAAAGGGAAAAUAAUACAUAGGUCGAUAAAUGAAGCAUAUUACUAGCUUAUAAUUUUCACCUUCCAAAGUAGAGAAAGGAGAAUUAUCUUUGGCCGUAAAUAACCACUUUCGUUGUUCCGUUCGCCAUGCACUAGAUUCAUCUGUAACUCUACUUUUCAAAAUGCCGUAGUUAACUUCGACCUAGGUAGUGCCGAAGUUAAUUAAGAAAGAGAUAGAAAAAAUAAUAAAAAUAUCACUGUUGUAACUUUUUUCAACGCAAAUAAAAAAGUAAAAGAAUUAUGGCUUCAAAAUUAUUGACUUCGUAUCAAACAAGCUGCGGUGGGAAAAUAUUUCUUUUACCUGAACUUCAGUUCAAUUGAAAGUCAUUUUCAACCUGAAAAACUCUUACAGCCCAAGAAAAAUAGUGCAGUAUAUUACUAGCCUACAAGUUUCACUUUGCUAUUCCGCAAUUUGUAAAGCAUCCCAUUUUGCGAGCCAAUUUAAAUGCCUCUCAUUUUGGAAGCCCAUUUUUUUUUUUAAAAGAUAGAUAGUACGCUACCCGCUUCGUUUAUUUCAUUUAGAAAUAAACUUAACUAGAAAUGUGAAUCAACUAGGAUUUGAACUUGGAUCUCGAAUACCAACUACUAAAUCUUUUGCCACUUGCUUUAGCAAGUGUCGGUUUUGGAAGCCCCUUUGUCUCACCAUAAGUAGAGGAAUCUAAUUCUGCUAUUUGACUCGCCGUAAAUUAAAUUCGUCAGUAACUCUAUUUUUUCAAACCUUUGUAAUUGAUUUCACUCUCGGCAGUGCCAAAGUCAAUUACAAAAAAAAUAAUAAUAAUAAUAAAAAAGUAACUGGUGCAAUUUUUCUUUUUUUCAUUCUCUUAUACGCCAAGUGUGAAAUUUUUUUAAAAAAGAGAAAAUUAUAGCUUAAAAUUUUGUACAAAUUUUUUUUUUUUUUUAACAGAAAUUUCAGUUCAACUGAAAAUUAUUUUCGACAUGAAAAACACUCGGCGCGAACGUUGAACUAGAAGAUAUUUAUGAGUGAUGUGUAUACCUCCUCUGCGAGGCGGCGAUGAAGGCGUCGACUUUCGGGGCGGCGACGGUGGCGCAGAGCAGCAGAGCCCCGACGCCGAACCCGGCGAUCUCGCUCUCCGUGAGGGGGAGGCCCUCCAUCGCAAAUAAUGUAAAAACGGAGGGGCCGAAUCGCAAAAUUUGGUUUCCUGCUCCGGAGCACGAUGAGAACGGUGGCGAACGCGGUGGGUGAUUUUUGUGUGAAUGAAUGAGUGGACGGGAGAGGUGCGGGGAGUUUAUUAGCUGGACUCGGUGCGUCCGUACUCCUGUGCGCCGCUCAUCAUCACGUUGUAGACUGAGAAUCGUGACCGUUCGGUGAGUGAUGGAGGGUGGAUGGUUGGGCGGUUCACCGAUGAAGUUGUACUCUGGGUGCACGGAGCAAUGUUUCCCCGAGCGGAUGAGCCGAGAGUGUGCGCGGAGCGCUCGAAAAGUACAGGGACUGGCUCGCAAUAUUUAGAAAGCACAGGGACUAAAUAGCAAUGUUCAUAUAGAGCUUUUCUCGAUCCGCUAUUUUUAUUAGGGCAUAGCGCGGUUUCGCCGCAGAAGCGCUUUUCCAAUUGAUCGAGCAUCAUGCAGGUAAUCGAUCCAUUUUUUUCCCUUUUUUUUCCCUAAUAUUUGUUUUGAAUUAACGGGAACCAGUAGAUUCCAAAACCCUAGGCCGCGUUUCACAUUUUUUUUAAAUUUUUUUAAUUUUUUUUAACCUUUAAGAUCUUUGAUACUCGUUUAGGUGCGAGCAUCACGAUGGUAAACUAUGUUUUAAAAGUUUAAUUCUUAGGUUAUUUUGAUGCAUCAUCCAGUAGAUUGUGAAACCCUAGAUAAAGGUCUCGACUUUUUUUUUUUUUUUUUUGAUUUAUGUGGUAUUAACGCGCUCUCUUAAACCCUAAAGUUCGAAUUUUUACAAAUUGUUGCGUUGUGUGUGAUCUAUGGUAGGGUAAAGUGAAUCAUCAGCGUACUUUAUCCUCAAUAUGGCGCAAUUCUGUUUGGACUUCUUAGUAUAUAGAUUAUUUUUUAGGUUUUCAAAGCUCUGUGGUAAAAAACAGAAAAAAAUUGUUUAAAAAAAAUGUUGGAUUGGAAGUUGAAGAAUUUUUUCUGCUUCGAACUGUUAAUGGAAAUAUAUGAUUAAUGGUAGAAGGAAUUUCUUAUUCUCUGAAUCUUUUGUUUAUCGAGAAUAGCAUCAUCUAAAAGCCUUGGUAGGGGACAUGAGUGGAACUCUUUUUCAAUAUUUAUCUAUUAAGAUCUGGUUGUGGGUAGUUGUUUCAUUUGCCUCCUAAUCGGAAUUAAGUUGCCGAGAAGUAAAUACAUGGGAUAAGAGUAUUUAGUCUCUUCACGGUUCGGACGAGUCCACAUGAAAAUUAUCCUUGCCGCACUUACGCUUGGUUUGGUAGUGUGGUGGCCAAAAGCAUCAUUUUGGAAAUGUGACGAGGGAGGGGGAUUUGAAGAGGAAGAGGGGUGCGGAUGAAGCUGUUUUAGAUCGGAGGAGGGAAGCAGUUUCGACAAAAUUUUCCUUUGGAUCACAAAAGUUUGCUCUUACUAACGUAUCUCUCUCUUUCUUUCUCAAGUAGUCCAAUAAAAAGUUCUUACUGAUUCUUUGUAAAAAUCCCGUUAACGAUUCUUCCAAGUAUGAGUGGUAAAUUGGACUUCCUGUAUUUCGGCGAUCUAGAAGCAACUUCCAACAGCCUACCAUAGCGAAAACCAUGUUACUAGGAUUGUAAAUUAGGGUUCAUAUUUGGAGUAAUUGUAAUCAACAAGAUGGUUUAUAUUAUGUAUUUCCUGUUGCAAAGACAUGUGGAGACAAUAUAAAUCAACUGUUAGGUUUUAUUAGAUCUUUUGGAGUUCUCCUUUUCUUAAUUUAAUUUUUCUUGUAUUGAAGUUUUGGUUGUUUAUAUAUUUUUUUUUAACUUUUUUUUGCUUUAUUUUAGUUGUGUUGCUUUCUAACUGUGGUAACUCUAUUUAUGUACUCAGGCCAGCGACAGAUUUAACAUUAACUCUCAGCUUGAGCAUCUGCAAGCCAAGUAUGUUGGAACAGGGCAUGCGGACUUGUCUAGAUUGUAAGUCACCAGGUCCAUAAAUAUGUUAUAACUGAUUUUGAAUGAUCUUAUUAUAAUUUUUUAUUUGCUUUUGGCGUUAAGUGAAUGGGCAGUAAACAUCCAGCGGGACAGCUAUGCAUCCUAUAUUGGUCACUAUCCCAUGUUAGCAUACUUUGCUAUAGCGGAAAAUGAAUCAAUUGGGCGAGAGCGCUACAAUUUCAUGCAGGUAUCUUCGACUAUUUUCCCCAUUCUUUUUCUAUAUCUUUUUACUGUUGGGCCGUAUUAUGGAAACUAUUGAUCUUACUACUACGUCUCUGCAUUGGCUAAUCUGUGAAGUUUGAAGUAUACUAACUAGUUAAUUCCACAUUGUUAAGAUCACAAUCAGAAGUCCUAAUUUUCAUUUUGUCAAGAUAGAAAUAUUUUUUCGUGUUAUCAUGUUUUGACCCAAUCAUGAGCCCAUAAUGAGCUAUGAGCUUAUUUUGCUGCCCUAAAUGGUGCUGCGUAUAUUGAACAUGAUGAAAGUAGUGUAAAAGGUGUUCAAUAACAUGCUUUUAGUUAGAUUUGCCAUUCCUUAUUGCCAUUCCAUCAUUUUGCGAUGAAUGAUACACCUUAUUUAUACAAUAAAAAUCUAAACCGUAAAAAAAUUAUGCUGGCCACAUACAAGUACCUUGAAUUGUUGAUUUUAGAAUGGCCUAAAGUGUAAGGUGAAUUGAACCUAGUGAUUCAUGAUAAUCUUACAGAUGUUAAUGGGUCAAAUAAAAAAUUUGAUUAGUACUUCGAUUAACAUUCUACAUCAAUUCAAAAUACUUCUGAUGGUGGCGAUAUUUCUCUCCUGACGAAUGAAGUAAAACAGCAGAGUAAAAUAAUCCUCACAAUGAAGCAAGCGGCAUGCCAUCUUACAUUUUUCAUGUUCUUCCUUUUGAUUUGGUGUCGUCUUUCAGAAAAUGUUGUUGCCGUGUGGUCUUCCUCCACAGCGGGAUGAAGAUUGAGGUGCUCGUAGUUUCAAUUUCAAGCUUGUCCGUGUUGGUCCUCUUCCUGUAGUCGGCCGCUUCCCGUCACAAAGAAAGUGAAGAGCAAAAAGAUUGCCUAUCAGCCACUUGAUGAUCUUUUCUUUCUUCUUCUACCUUUUUCCUUUCAGAGCUGUUAUUGAGAGGAUUGCGCGAGCGUGUGUUCUAAACUUAACACAACAUGUUUAUUUUUUAUUUUGUGUCAAGAAUGUGUUGAGCUACUUAUCUAAAGCAAAACAGUAUGAGAAACAUCAACUCGAGGUCCUCGAGGCGCAUACUAUUAUUGAUAUUAAAACCAAAUUUGAUCUGAUAGAAGGAGAGUUUGAUGGAAAUUUAUAUUACAAUUACUAUGUGGGGUAUGUGCUUUUUUAGUCCAUUUGAUUGGAGCCUCAUUUCCGAGGGCAUGCUAAUAUUUACUGAGAAGUGUUUCCAUUCAUGUGGUUUUAUGGUACUAUUGUUAGUGCUUUGCUUUACUCCUUGUCGACGAAUGGUUUUCCUGUCUGAUUUGGCUUGGUUGAAGCUUCUUCAGAAGUGCUAUUUGAGUAGGAACUUUUUGUCAAAGCAUUAUAAACUUUUGUUUUGUCGAGAUCUUCCUGAUAUUCUCCCAUUGUAGCAGGAGCAAUAGCUUCAAAUGCAGCUUUUGGCUUUUGUGGUGCUGAAGCUUAUUCGAGCUUCUCGCCACGGAAUUCGUCGUGAUAAAAAGCUAUUUCAGAACUAGCAAAUCAAGGCAUUUAUUGGUGUCAUACUACAUAAAUUAGAAAUUUCAAUGAUUAAAGAAUAAAUUGGUCCAAUGAUCUUAAUUGAAGACAUUUGUACUGUGGAAAAUUACCAGUAACUAAUGGAGAAUUGAAAAUUUUCUAUUAUUAUUAAUAUUUAAAACUGCAUUUAAUGAUCAUAACAAAGUCGUUGUAGUAUAGUGGUGAGUAUUCCCGCCUGUCACGCGGGUGACCCGGGUUCGAUCCCCGGCAACGGCGUAUUUUUAUUUUAAUUUUUAAGUUUUUUUGUACCAAAUUUUUUUGAUGUUUUUCCUAAUUCUUUAAAAUUUUUCUACCAAUUUUUUGCACCAAAUUUUUAGAUUUUUUGAACUUUUUGUAUCACAUUUUUUUAAAUUACAUUUUUCGUGCCACAAUUUUAUUUCUUAGGAAUAAUUGGAUAUAGCUUCUUAUAAAAGCAUCAAAUAGCAAAUAUAUCAUUACAAAACUUAUAUUAUCAAAUAUAUUCCUUCAAAAGUCUUUCAAUCUGCAAAUAUAUCAUUCUGUUACCCAAAUUUAGAUAAUUAUAAGUUAAAAAAAAACUAAUCACAAUUAACUAAGGGGUAAAAUAACCAUUUUACCCCUCCUUUAUAUACUUUGUAUUUUAAAAUUGAGUUGUGUCAUUUUUUUUCACUCUCUUCUCUUUAUCCAUAACUACAGCGAGACUUACUGCAACGGUUACAUCGAAGGCGGAGCCAUCGAUCGCGGCAAAAAUAAGAUACGCCGCACAUGCCGCGGCAAAGACGAGGAGAGAGAAAAAAAACUUUUUUUUUUUUUGAGAGAGAGAUAGGUAGCACGCUACCCGCUUCGUUUAUUUCAUUUAGAAAUAAACUUAGCUGGAAAUGUGAAUCAACUGGGAUUCGGACUUGGUUCUCGAGUACUAACCACCAAGCCUUUUGCCACUUGCUCUAGAGACGGACGGUCGGUAAAAAAAAACUUUUUGCAACGACAAAUUUGUAAGGGCAAAACAUCGUUAAAAAUCUAACAACAAGACAUUUAUUAAUGAAUCAUAAUUUUGGAAGAAAUAUAUUUGUAAACCAGAGAAUUUUUAAAUGGAUAAAUUUGGUAACUUAAAUUUUGAAGGAAUGUAUUUGCUACUUCAUAUCUUUGCAGGGAUCUAUAUGAAAUUUAUCCUAUUUCUUAAAACGGAUACAAAUUACAAUUUCUUGAGAAGGUUUUUUUUUAAAAAAAUUAUCUGGGGGCAAACACAUGAUGGAACCUCUCAAAAAUCAAGCAGUCAUUUGAAGCAAUAUGCUAAAUUUUGCACAAAAGAUUUUGAAUUUUACGAGACUUGUCUGUGUAGGGACCAAAAAUUAAGGGGGUGUUAGAUUUCCUGAAAAAAUUUUCAGAAAAUAGUUUUAUGACUGAAAAGUUAUUUUCAGUUUGUUUGGUUAACAGAAAAAAUAAUAUUUCUGAAAAGCCCUUUUACAGAUAUCAUGAAGAAGUCCUUUUUAAAUUUUAACAAUUUUGUAUCAAAAAAAAAAAAAAAACUAUAGAAAAAAUGUUUUUCAUAAACCAUUUUUCCUUCACAAAAUAAUUUCCUUCAAUUUUUGGAGAAACCAAACAAACCCUAGUGAAUUGUAUGCUCCAACUUUUUUUUUUUUUUUUUUUUUUUUUUUUUUUUUUUUUUUUUUUAGUUCAUUUUGGUGGCCCUGAAAAUUAGACAUCAUGGAAGUUGCAGCAGAUACUCUCCAACCAAACCCAUAUGAAAACUGAGUUAAAAAGUUGGGCACCAAACUAAAACUAUGCUCUCCUCUACUUUAAAAUUGAAAAUUAAAUAAAUGAAGAGCUUCUGAUUUUGAUGGAAUUUAAAAGUUGGGAGCAAACUGCAAAAACAAAAAAAUCACACUUCAUCAUUUCAAAACCACACUAUGAAUCUUAUUCUAAUUUCAUACCAAGUAAACAUCCCAUUUGUCCCAUAGCAAAAGAAUACCCUGAGUCUCCACAUAGAAACCCAGAGAAAUUACACAGAGAGAGUGAUAUUACAAAUAAAGCUACAUCUCUAAAUAAGCUUUAGUUCUCCAACACAAAUGUGCCCAAAAAAGAACAAUGUAAGUUUGUAUAUGAAUGGCGCAUAACUUAUAAACCUACACUAUUCCCCCUUCUCCAACUCUACUUCUCCUUCUUAGGGCCGUUAGCAGCGUCGGCGGCUUCUUUGGAUGGAUUAAGCUCGUCCCAAGCUUCGAUCCACAUGACCAUGGCGUCGGCAAGCUUGUCGAAGUACGGGUCGACUUUUCCGAGCUUAGCCUUAACCUGCUUCGAGAGCUCGAUGUAGCACUUUUGCACGGUGUUGCACUCCUUCGGUAGGUUCGCGGAUUGGAAGAAGGGGAUGAGCUCUUCUUGCCAGAAGAUGCCGUUGUACUCCUUUUUAAGGUUUACGAACGGGUUGCUCGCCUUGCUGUGCCAGAUGUAGGGCAGGCCGGUCUUUACUCCUAGACCUAAGUGGUCGCAGAUCACCUACACAAUCAACGGAUAAGAUGUGAGGAGAGCUUAUGUAUUCAUCGGAGCAAAUACCCGAUUACCAAAGAAGAAAAGUACUUCUACAAGUGGAUGACAAAGGAACAUUUAAGGCCUGUUUGGUUUUGGCUGGAACUUCUCCCAAACUGCUGUUUAAGUAGAGCUACUCGAACAAGCGCGCAUAGUUUUUUCCUUUAACAUCCUAAACAGCUCCCUACUGCAUCAGAAUCGGAAAAUUCCAGUUGGAGCUUCUGCUUCUCAGCCCUAGAUCUCAUUUUGGCUUCUUGCUAUAGAAAAAGCUCCCAACCAUUUGAUAGCCGAAACUUGUUAGUAGUAGAGAAGCGAUUUAGAAACCAAACACACGUAGUUGGACAAAGGUGCUUUAAUACUUUUAUGCUAAUUAUGAAACACUCUCCUUCAUUCAUGGGCUCGACACGUGUAAUUUGAACUGAUUGGAAUAUAGUCGUUCCCUUUAAGUGCUAGACCAAUCUGGUGGAAGUCAAACUCGGGAGGAACACUCACAUAACGUGUGAACUGAAUCAAACGACCAAAUUCCCUCUUGAAGCUUAACAAUCCAAAAAAGGGUGCUUGAAUUUUUUGCUUCCUAAGUAUUGAAACAGAUCAAGACAAAAGAAGAAGAAUGAUUUACCUUCAUGCACCAACCAGCCCACAUAUCAUCGUAACGGCCAAUAGGCUGGCCAUCACCCAUAAGUCCAAAGUACAUGGCAGGGCCGAUUAGCUCACGGUUGAAUGCGAGAUUCAUCCCACACAUUGGAAACAAGGUACCCUUUGGAAUUGUGAGUACUGCAUCAACAUACCUGACAUCCAAAAGAAUUUAGUUAGAUGAGCCAAGCAAGCAACUAAUUAAAGAAAAGUCUAAAUUGUCGACCUAAUAAAAUUUUGAAUUGAAUAAUCUCAGCCUAUCCUGGGCUUUAUCAUUAAUAUUUCUUACCUGCUGUUUUAUAAUGCAAAUAUCUCUUCUGAGAAAAACGAGAGAGGACAGUGCGCAAAUACAUAAUGCUUCAGGUAAAAUACAUAGGUAGUCCGUAAACUAAAAUUACCAACAUUUGCCCACGGAUCACAUCGCUUGUCAGCGAAAUUGAAAGGAAUAGCUAAACAUUUUACUCUAGUGUUCAAGUAGCUACCUGGUAUUUCUCUCACGGGGCUUGACAAGCUGUGUUGGGGCAUCAUAGUCCGGGAUAUUGAGCCAAAGGCCAUGAGAAACAGCAGUAGUGACACCCUCGCGAAGGCUAAAAGGGUAGCCACGAACGAAAUCUGCUCCCUCACGGUAAGGAUCAUACAGAGUAUUAAAGAAGAAGGGAGUAGAAGGGCUGAGAAGAUUCUUUAUGUGCUGCUCGAGCGCAUUGAUGUCCUUGCCAGAUGGUUCUUUGGCAACCUAUACAUAAAAAGAGAAAGGGCUUUGUUUAGUAAAACGAUUUCACUGUAAUUUGAAGAAGAGAGCUUGAAUUCUUACAUACUAACACCAAUUAAGUAAAUACAUGCAGAUCAACGGAUUACAUGUGCCCACCGCUUUGCCAAUGAGGAAUGAGGAACUUUACUUUGUAGAUCACAAAAUGGAGGCAUAAUAAACUAACACUGACCAUGCAUCAAGUUGUUUGGAGAUCAAAAUGAUAAAAUAAGCAUAAAACAUGUCUGUUACUCAUCUAUUAAUAAAGAGAAAAAAAAGCACAACUAUCAGUCCACUUCCUAUUGUUGUUCUCUUCUUUUUCAUGACACCAGUUCACAGAUCUUUUUGCAUCCCUAGUCAACAACAGUGCAAUCAUUCUUGUAGCCAAUAGAAGCACUCUAAUAAAUUGCGUAGUGGACAGACAUGACCCACAUAACUCCACAGAUCCCGCCGGAAAAUGGUAGCCACUAAUUAUGCAGGUAAAAAUGAUUGCAAGUUUCAUAAAGAUAGAACAAAGGUUCUGAUGAUUACAGCACUAUCCUGUUAACAAUAAAAAAAAGAAAAAAAAAAUUAAAAAGAUAAGAGUAAGGAAUGCUUCAAUAGGCAUAAGCAUUUAAAGGAUUAAGUACAUUGUAGACAUUGGAGCAUUGUUUAAGAUUGGAGUGGUGUUGAACCCUUUUAAAAUAUAAGAACCAUGCGAUGCAAACCUAAUGAAGCGGAUCUGGCAACAGUUCACAAAAGACCAACAGGAAGAUCUGCUAAGUAAUUUUUUAGUAAAACAGCUGAGUAGCACAAAAAUUUUAUAAACAAGGAUGAAAGAUCAACUCGAUGCUAAGCUGCUAACUCUUAUUACGAUUUUCCUUGCUCAAUAAUGGAUCUGAAGGCAUGGAGAGUCGACUAUAUAAGCAAUGGUUAUAUCAUAACAGAUCAUCACUGGAAGAUUAAAUAAUCCUCUGGCAUAAACUUAUCAAGCCAAAAAAUGCGUUAAUACAGCAAAAUAACCAACAAGUGCAACAUAAAUUAAUCCAACUAAGUCAUAUUAGCACCAAAGAUCAGGAUAAAAAUAAUUGUAAAUUAAACCAAAAGUAACACACAGGGCACUUGGUUUAGAAACUAAAGCCUAUCCAUAAUCCUCUAAAGUUCCCAACGAGGGAAAAAAAUUGCUAAUGAAGAGAUCAAAGAGAUGGUCCCAACCAUCAAUAAAGUAGAGUGGAUCUUUCAAUUAACAUGCUACAAUAAUAGAUCAAAAGCAACAGUGUAACAGCCUCUUCAGGAAGGAAGAAGAGUUGAUGAUAGGAACUAAAUUGAACUCAAACUAAAACCUUAAUAUAGUACGAAAAGAGCUGCAACUAUAGAAUACCGAAAUUAUGAAAAAAGAAUAAUUUUGCAACAUCAUCGUAAUAAUAAAUCCCUUUCACAACAUAAAGUCAAUCAAAGACCAAGUUUAUUUUUCCCAGAUUAAGUAAAAAAGUACCAAAAACAUCGAAGUAACAGGGAAAAAUCCGAUCUUUACGUCUUCCCCAAAACCAAAACUUAAACAUCAAAACACCAAUCCAAAAACCCUGAAAAAACUGGAAAAAAAAAAUCCCACCUUUACGCAAUCCCCGCCACGCUCUUCCCCACCCAAAAACAAAACUCAAUCAUCAAAACACCAAGCGAAACCAUAAAAGCUCCGAAAUCGAACCAGUUAAGAGGAAUGGGGGAGGAGAAAGAGGCUGAGAUCCGACUCACGAAGCAGUCAUCGUCGAUCGUAUAGAUGUACUUCUUCUUGGAGACCAUGUAUCCGAAGCAUCGGCACGCGGAGUCCUUGAAGGAGAUGCACGAGGCCUUGGGGCCGAGGAUACGGUUGAUGUCGUUGCGGUUGUAGAGCUCGUAGUCGAACCCCUCGGGCACCUUGAUGGUCCUCGUGGGGUCCCCAUCUUGGACGAUGAUGAGGUGGUAGGGUUGGAAGAACGGCCUCCACAUCUCCAGGAAAUCCAGGUUCCGGAUCGUCGGGAUCACGAUGUCGAGCUCCUCCUUGAGCAGGGGAGUGAUCGGAACCCCUGAUCCGGUCGCCAUUGACGCGCGCGGCGACGAGGGAUCGGCCCUAGGGUUUCAGAGAGAGAGAGAGAGAGAUGGAGAGGACGAAGAGAUCGAGAGAGAGAGAGAGAGGCGACGAAGAGGGGAGGGAGAGGAUCCGAACAUAUAAAGAGGAGAUCGGCACGUGACGUCACGUGAGACCCGGUCGGGUGGGGUCGUAUUGACCCGGUCCAUGUUUCCGGUCCGGAAAUUAGGCCGGCUCUCGGUUCCCCGGUCUAGACGCAAUACAAAGGGCUUUCACAAGGGAAAAAAUAUAUAUUAAAAACUUAUUAUUGUGUUAUAUGCACUUUAGGAACCCUAGUACGUAAAAAAUAUGUAUAUGAAAAAAAAUAUAAACUUCAAAUACCACUUUUGUGAUUUCAUAUUUUCUUAUUUUAGUACUCUGUGAUUUAAAAUAUAUCAAUUUAGUAUUAUAUAAUUUUUUUUCUUUUCGUCAACUUCUCCGUUAGUAUUUUGUUAAACUAUAUACAAAAAAACUUUAGAUACCCCGACUAAAUUUAUCGAAUAUUCACUUUAGUACAUUUUAAUUUAAACUUUAUCACUGAUUUAAUAAAAAAGAAUUAAUGGAGAGGAUAGUAAAAAGAGAAAAAUAAAAUAAUAGCUUACUAAAUUGAUACACUUUAAAUUAUAGAAUAUUAAAAUAAAAAAUCGGAGUUGUAUUUGAAAUUAUUUUAAAAAAAAAAUUUCUAGGCAUUGAGUGAUUGAUCGUUUAAUUACAGUGAUAUGUAUAAAUAGUGAAAGUAGUGAAUCCUCGGAAUUUUUUCUAUACAAGAUUUACAAAAAUUUAUUUUACUGUCAAUUUCUAUUUGUUUUUAUAUAUAUAAUAGAUAUAGAUAUCUACAGAAAAAAAAUAUUUUGAAAAAUUAUAAAUGUACGAAAAAUUUUGUGUUGGUUAUUAAUAUCACCGGGUAGGUGACCGGAUCCCGAGGCGGGAGAGGGACAAGCAUGGAAUAUUCUCAUUCCCCAGUUUUAGUGAAUCUGAACGGACGAAUUAUUGACGGUUGGAUUUGUACUAGGGUAUGAGAUCUGAGCCGUCCGUUGGCUCGGGGCGCAUGCGAUCACGUGGUCGGCGUGUUGUCCGCAUAAUCCGGCGUAGAAUUUCGUUGAGUUUGGUGUAUUUGUCGGCAAUUGCGAGACUAGCAACAACGUAAGCUAAAAAUGCAUGGAAACACCUCCAAUUAUAGAAAAUUUUAAAUUAGGUCUCUCAAAUUUUUUUUCUUUUAAAGAAAAAAAAAAGUACUAACUGUUUCGUUUAUUUUAUUUGAAAAUAAAUUUAGCUGAAAAUAUGAAUCAACUAGAAUUCGAACUUGGAAUCUCGGGUACCAACCACCAAGCCCUUUGGCACUUGCUCUAGAGACGGUCGGUGCUUUCUCAACUUAUCGCUUUUAAAAACAACCCACUAAAAUUUUUACACUUUACUUUUACUUACGCGAUGUUACUAAUUGAAUUCUCGUUUCAAUUACAUAUCUUGUAUAUAGUUUUGCAUAACUUUAGAAUACGAAAAAGAUUUUUUUUCUUUUAAUUAUGAUAAUGAAGUAUCAUAAUUAAAACUGCUAUAGUAAAUCUACUUUAAAUUUUUAUUAUAUUUUUUAUGUUUUUGAAUGAAAAAUAUAUUUUUUCCUUAAAAGCUUUAUAAAAUUAUAUAUAAUACAAGCGAUCAGAAUUGAUUGUAUAAUUUAGAAUUUUAAUUGAGCAGAAGACAUUUAUUUAUGUUAUUUGUAAAGUUUAGAUAGACCGAAUUGCAAAAUUAAAAUUUUAGGCACUUAUUCACAAAAAUUUUAGAUUCAAGAGAUCUUUGUCUUCUUUUCUAAUUGAUGUUUUUAACUUCUAAUUUUCAUUUAAAUCAUUUUAGUUUAAUAUUUAAAAAUUUUAACUAUAUUUACUGGUUCUAGUUGCUAUUAACAGUAAAUUAUUCUAGUUUUAUUUAAAUAAUAGUUAAAGUUAAUAGAUUUAAUAAAAUCAUCGAGAUAUUUUAUAAAAAAAUUCUAAUUUAUUUAAUUAAAAUUACUAAAAUAAAAAAUAAAAAAGUGUUAAAUUGGGUUUUUAAAAAAUAUAGGGGCUACUUAAAAAUGGCAUAUAUGUGAGUGGUCUCCAAACCUUUUUGUAACGGGUUAUUGGGGGUAAUCUUACUAGUCGUGUUGGGGACCUUGGACCGGAUUUGGCCCCGCCUGGUUCGAUUCUACCGGUUCGUUUCGACCGGUUCGAUUCGACCGGUUCGGUCACGUGGGUUUAAUCAAAAAGACGGUUUAAUUAGAUUUUCCCUUUCAUACGGCAAGGAGCCAGUUGUGUAUUCCUUGUCCUUGAUUGCUCUAUGAUCGUUCCCAAAGGUAUCGUUUGGUUCGGGGAUAAGAAAAAAGUGGCUAUUCCAGGAAUAGAUAUAAAUUGAGGUAUAAACGAGGAUUAGAUCAAUUUUACGUUUGGAUGAAAAUUGGGUUAUUCCUGGAAUAAAAAAAUAGCGUUUGGUUAGGUAAGAUAGAAUAAGAGAGAUAAUGGAUUUUGUAAAUAAAAAAUAAUGAUAUGCGUACCCAAUGCGUCCCCAAAAAACCCUUCGCCCUUUUACAUGGGAUAAAUACUUCAUGCUUUGAUGUAUGAAUAAAAAAAAGGAUCACUUCUAAUAAAGUUCUUAAUAGGGACGUCAACGGGUUAGGUUUGGAACAAAUUUUCAAAAAUCUGAAUCAGAAUCCGACUCCCAAUCCAAAAUUCGAAUCCGAACUCAAAUCCGACAGAUUUUAAAAAUUCAUAUCCAAACCCGAACCCGGCUAAAAACCUGAACAUGAAAAUUUGAAUCCGAAAUAAUUAUCUCUUUUCAAUAUUUCAAAAUAUAUUAUAUUAAAUCUAAAAUUUUAAAAUAUAAAUUCAAAUAUAACAUCAAAUUUAUAUAUACAUAUUAUAUAUAAUAUAAAAUAAAUUCGGGUUCUGAUCGGAUUUGGGUUUAGGUCGGGUCAGGUCAAAAUUCAUAUCUGAAUCCAUAUCGAUUGGAUUUUUAUUUUUGAUAUCCAUAUUUAAAAUUACAUUCAUUUAGUAUCGAAUAAAUCUGUUCUGCUCGGAUUUGAAUUUGAAUAAAAUUUUAAAUAUCCGUAUUCAUUAACAUUUCUAGAUCUCACCGAUUGAAGUUUACAUAAUAAUGAUAGCUUUUAUUUUGAUUUAAAAACAAUAAAAUAGUUCUGAUAUGAUAUAAAUAGUCUCACAUGAUCUGCCCUAGUUGGCGUGUUUGACUUUUAUAGCUUUAAUGCUAUUUAUAUCCAAUUAAAAGCUUACCAAAAAAAAAUUGUACUUGUUAGAGAAUGCAUAGUAUUGUUGCACAAUUGUUCGGCAGUUUUGUCAGAAUGAUUGGUAAUAAAUAAAAUUGUUAGACUACGUUCGGUUGGGGGUUAAAGGUGAAAUGAAGGGUUUAUUUCAUUCUUAUCCUUUAAACACAAACAAAAAAUAAUAGGAACACUAAUUUUCUCCUUAACGGAUUAACGGGCUAUUUUAGAAUUACCCGAUAAGGAGGGAAUUAGUGUUUCCACCCCAAGGUGGAACAAGCUAAGAUAACCCAGCUUGUUCCACCUGUGAAGAGAGAGAGAGAGAGUGUGUGUGUGUGUGAGUGAGUGAGAGAAUUUUUAAUUUAUUAUAAAAUUUAAAUUUCGUAAGUUUAAAGAUUAAAAUCUAUAAUUUUAAAAAUUACAAAAUUUAAAUUUAAAAUUUAAAUUAUUUAAUUUUAAAUUUUAAAUUUUGAUAUUUUAAAUUUUUUAUUUAGAACUUGAUAGUUUGUAUUUUUAAAUUAAAAUUUCAUCUUAAAUUUAAAGUUUAAAAUUUUAAAUUUUAAUAUUUUAAAUUUAUAAAUUUGAGAUUUUAUAAUUUUAAAUUUUAAUUUUGAUUUUUAAAAUUUAAAAGUUUAUAUUUUAAAUUUUAAAAUAUAAAUAUAAAAUAUAAAAAUUCAAAUUCUAAUAUAAAGAAAAGAAUAAUAUUAUUAUUUUUUAUUUAUAACUAUCCACUUUAAUUCUUUUUCCAUCUUAUCUAACCAAAUGCUAUUUUUCUUAUUUUUAGAAAUAAUCCAAUUUUCAUCCAAACGCAAAAUUGAUUUAAUCCCCGUUUAUACCUCAAUUUAUACCUAUAUCCGGAAUACCCACUUUUUGUUUAUUCUCGAAUCAAACGAUACCUUAUUAGAGAAUGCAUAGUAUUGUUGCACAAUUGUUCGGCAGUUUUGUUAGAAUGAUUGGUAAUAAAUAAAAUUAUGAUGUGAACAAAGUAAAAUUUUAAAAUAAUAGAAAACAAACUACUUUUGAUAUGCGAAUAAAUAUAAGGAACGUUUGAUUAGAUGUAAUUAUAAAUACAGUAUAGUUGAAAAUAUAUAUAGUUAGAAAUACAGAAGUUGCAAAUAUAUGUAUUUUAUAACUAUAAAUAAUUUGUUUGGUUGCACACAAUUAAGAAAUAAUUUUUAUUUUUAUAUAUAUAUAAUAGUGAGAUUAUCUCUAAUAUAAAAAUAUAUUUUUUAUUUAAAAAAUAAUUAAGGAGGUCAAUUUAUCUUUUAUUUAAAAUUACUUUCUCCAACUGCUGCAGUUGAAAUUGCGAUCAAUUUGGGCGUAGUUUCAACUGCUGCAGUUGGACCUCCUCCUGUAUUUUCUACUGCAACAGUUAAAGUUAAAUAUAUCAAACCAAACAUCGACUUUGUAUUUGUAUGCAUUUAUAAUUGCCGUGUAGUUACAACUACACG
rnacentral:lncRNA from 1 species